UACAGAGACUGCGAGCGUUAUUCGGAUUCACUGGGCGUAAAGGGUGCGCAGGCGGCCAAGUGUGUUAGGCGUGAAAGCCCGGGGCUUAACCCCGGAAUUGCACCUAAAACUACAUGGCUAGAGCAUUGGAGAGGGUAGCAGAAUUCACGGUGUAGCAGUGAAAUGCGUAGAUAUUCGGAAGAACACCAGUGGCGAAGGCGACUCGCUGGACAGACAUUGACGCUGAGGUGCGAAAGCGUGGGGAGCAAACAGG
rnacentral:rRNA from 1 species